GAUGAACGCUGGCGGCGUGCCUAAUACAUGCAAGUCGAGCGAACAGAUGAGGAGCUUGCUCCUCUGACGUUAGCGGCGGACGGGUGAGUAACACGUGGAUAACCUACCUAUAAGACUGGGAUAACUUCGGGAAACCGGCGCUAAUACCGGAUAAUAUAUUGAACCGCAUGGUUCAAUAGUGAAAGACGGUUUUGCUGUCACUUAUAGAUGGAUCCGCGCCGCAUUAGCUCGUUGGUAAGGUAACGGCUUACCAAGGCAACGAUGCGUAGCCGACCUGAGAGGGUGAUCGGCCACACUGGAACUGAGACACGGUCCAGACUCCUACGGGAGGCAGCAGUAGGGAAUCUUCCGCAAUGGGCGAAAGCCUGACGGAGCAACGCCGCGUGAGUGAUGAAGGUCUUCGGAUCGUAAAACUCUGUUAUUAUGGAAGUACAAAUGUGUAAGUAACUAUGCACGUCUUGACGGUACCGAAUCAGAAAGCCACGGCUAACUACGUG
rnacentral:rRNA from 1 species